CUAUAUGCCAAAAACUUGUUGAAAGCCAAUUGCUCCCUUACAAGAUGGAGGAGUUAACUAAAUAUCAAUUGUAGGACUUCACACAUUGGUAUUUCCCAGUAGUCCAAUGAAAUGCAACCAGGUGCAGCACCUUUUGACUUCAGUCCAAAGGCCAAGACAAGAAUAAAGAGCAUGAAUAAGAGAAGAAGGUUUUUUCCUUAGAAUCACUGCUGUAUCUUUCUGCAUUUGUAAUGAACCUCAAACUGGAUAUUUCCAACUUAUUUCUGUGUCAAAUGAUUUUUUUCCAGUAUAAAACUUACAGCUCUUAUAGCAUUCCUUGGUACCUCUUCUACAAUGCUAUACUAAAUUUAGUUUCUCAUUGCCCCACUAUAUCUAUCAUAUUAAUAAUCAUCACCAUGUAUUGAGCAUAUACUUGGUGCACUACUUAUUCAUUACUCUUCAGCACUGAAUUAAUUUAAUUCAAUUAUCUAUCGAGGGGAUCCACAGAAUGCCUGGCACAGGAACCUUAAGAAAUAAAACAUGAACAUGACAUGGAUCCUUCCCUUACAGUCAAAUUGAAUUUGU